rnacentral:tRNA from 1 species
GCGAGAGUGGCGGAACUGGUAGACGCACUGGAUUUAGGUUCCAGCGGACGCAAGUUCGUGCGGGUUCGAGUCCCGCCUUUCGCA